GGAGGGUGUAAGCGUUAUUCGGAAUUAUUGGGCGUAAAGAGCGCGUAGGGCGGGUUUUUAAGUCAGAUGUGAAAGCCCGAGGCUUAACCUCGGAAGUGCAUUUGAAACUAAGAGACUUGAGUAUGGGAGAGGGAAGUGGAAUUCCUGGUGUAGAGGUGAAAUUCGUAGAUAUCAGGAGGAACACCGGUGGCGAAGGCGACUUCCUGGACCAAUACUGACGCUGAGGCGCGAAGGCGUGGGGAGCAAACAGGAUUAGAUACCCUGGUAGUCCACGCAGUAAACGGUGAACACUAGGUGUAGCGGGUAUUGACCCCUGCUGUGCCGAAGUUAACGCAUUAAGUGUUCCGCCUGGGGAGUACGACCGCAAGGUUA
rnacentral:rRNA from 1 species